UUUCCGCUUAAUAGAAAUAUUUGGCUAAUCCUUUAUCGAAUCUUUUUAACCAUAUCUGGGAUAGAUGCUUGUAAUUUUUCAUCUUCAACUUGGAAUACCUAGUAAACAUAAUUCAACAAAUUAUGUUGAUUACGUCCCUGCUCUUUGUACACACCGCCCGUCGCUUCUACCGAUUGAAUUAUCCGAUGAGUUGUAAAGAGAGAGAUUUAUAUUUUAUGUAAUUCAUUCAAAUUACAACAAAUCUUAUAAUUUAGAGGAAGGAGAAGUCGUAACAAGGUAAU
rnacentral:rRNA from 1 species